CCCUGAGCAGACACUUUGAAGUGGACCAUUGUUGCCACUGGACGUGGACUCAGAGCCAAAGUACUCUUGGUUGCCUUGGAAACUGCCUCGGGCCCCGUCAACGACUCGGUUUCCACAGAGUUCAGUGCCGUGAAAACACGAGGCUUGAGCAGUCUCUGCUGGUCAAAGGCCAGGUCCAGUUCAGUCUUGCCAAACCACAGCUGGGCUCCGUGAACUGUGCAGGUGUGGAACUGGACUCUGAACACCACCUCCCUCUCUGCUGCUCGACUCCGCCGGUGGUAGCACUUCACCUGCAGAGAAGGAUGCAGCAAUGCGAGCACAUGUGGAUUCAGGUUCCACUGACCUUGCAGUGGAGAACCACUACAUUGUUGGGGUCAGAGAUUAGCCAUGUCUCCAUGGCUUUACAAACAGCGCAAAUCCUGUCCAGGGGUGGGGCAUGAAGAUCAGGCCAGCCAUAGUCCUGCACCUGAACCGCAGAGGAGGAAAGAUGUUUCAAAUUUGUCCAUUAACCUUGAAAAUACAAGCAUGGAGGCCACUUCCUGUAGGUUUCUGCGGUACCGCUGCUCCUCCAGGUCUGGCAUAAAGAAGACAGAGAUGAUCCUCUCCGUGAUCAGCUGGUUUGAAGAAGAGGCUGUCAGCACAGAUUUGGCUGUUCCACAUGACGGUCUGUCACUCCCCUCUGCUUACCCUUCUCCUGCUACCUCACACUCUGCUUCUCUCUAGUUUCAUUGCCUGGGGAACAGGAUAACCGCAAUCAUCCCUGCCGUGAGAUCCAAGUAUGUGCUCCCCCUGAA